UACGUAGGGGCCUAGCGUUGUCCGGAUUUAUUGGGCGUAAAGAGCUCGUAGGCGGUUCGGUAAGUCAGGUGUGAAAUCUCUCGGCUAAACCGGGAGAGGUCGUUGGAUACUGGCAGACUAGAGGACGGUAGAGGCGUGUGGAAUUCCGGGUGUAGUGGUGAAAUGCGUAGAGAUCCGGAGGAACACCAGUGGCGAAGGCGACACGCUGGGCCGUACCUGACGCUAAAGCGCGACAGCAUGGGGAGCAAACGGG
rnacentral:rRNA from 1 species